UCUCCGUAGGUGAACCUGCGGAGGGAUCAUUACAGAGUUCAUGCCCUACCGGGUCUAUCUCCCCCCCUAUGCUAUUAUUACUUUGUUGCAUUCUCGGACCGUUAGGCUCCGGCCCGACUACCGACCCCGUCUGGUAAGCGCCCGCCAGAGUACCCAAACCCUUGAAUAAUACUUUCGACUGCGUACCAUUUAAUAGUUAAAUCUUUCAACAACGGAUCUCUUCGUUAUGGCAUCCAUCAGAAACGCAGCCAACCGGACGUACACACGUCUGAACUCCAA
rnacentral:misc_RNA from 1 species